UACGUAGGUGGCAAGCGUUGUCCGGAUUUAUUGGGUUUAAAGGGUGCGUAGGCGGUCUAUUAAGUCAGUGCUGAAAUAUCCCGGCUUAGCCGGGAGGGUGGCAUUGAUACUGAUGGACUUGAGUGCAGUCGAGGUAGGCGGAAUUGACGGUGUAGCGGUGAAAUGCUUAGAUAUCGUCAAGAACACCGAUAGUGAAGACAGCUUACUAGACUGUAACUGACGCUGAGGCACGAAAGUGUGGGGAUCAAACAGG
rnacentral:rRNA from 1 species